rnacentral:rRNA from 1 species
UACGAAGGGUGCAAACGUUGCUCGGAAUUAUUGGGCGUAAAGCGCACGUAGGCGGCUCCGCAAGUCGGGUGUGAAAUCCCUCGGCUCAACCAAGGAAGUGCAUCCGAAACUGCGAAGCUUGAGUACUAAAGAGGAUCGCGGAAUUCCCGGUGUAGAGGUGAAAUUCGUAGAUAUCGGGAGGAACACCAGUGGCGAAGGCGGGUCUCUGGACAGUUCCUGACGCUGAGGCACGAAGGCCAGGGGAGCAAACGGG